rnacentral:rRNA from 1 species
UACAGAGGUGGCAAGCGUUGUUCGGAAUUACUGGGCGUAAAGGGCGCGUAGGCGGCCUUCUAAGUCAGACGUGAAGUCCCUCGGCUUAACCGGGGAACUGCGUCUGAUACUGGAUGGCUUGAAUCCGGGAGAGGGAUGCGGAAUUCCAGGUGUAGCGGUGAAAUGCGUAGAUAUCUGGAGGAACACCGGUGGCGAAGGCGGCAUCCUGAACCGGCAUUGACGCUGAGGAGCGAAAGCCAGGGGAGCAAACAGG